AAUCACUUCCUGCUUGAUCCAAAGCUUCUAAGAGUAUUUCAUAAUAUUCAAAUGGCAUCAAUAAAGCCGAGCCCUGAUACAGCCCACCAAACUCUCACACAAGCCCACUAAUGGCCUUACUUGAGCUUCAAUAAACAGCCCACACAUCUCUCAGGAUUCCCCAUAUAUAUACAGAACCGGCACCGUUAUGCCUUUCCAUUUCGCGCCUUUGACACUUCUCUUCUUCCCCUCUCACUCCCUCAUUCACUCUCUCAAUGGCUUUCACGAAACGCGAGCUCUCACCCCGACCAGAAUCCAAAAGGGCAGAGCUUGAUGUCUCUGGACCCGAUUCUCUAAGAUCCACGUCGAACCAGCUGCGCGUGAUGCUCAAUCCCGCUGGUUGUGAUUUAGAUGGUCUUCAAUGAGGAGGCAUUUGCUUAUUGUUGGUCUGUUGCUCGUGCCAAUGUUGGAAUAACAAGAUGGAAGUAUUGUUUCGGUUGAAAGAUUGUUUUGGUUCAAUGGGUUAAUAUGGAAUACUCGCCUCCUGACCAGCAGUAUGUUUGUCAUUUAGGCAUUUCUAGGGGAGAUGAUGGCGUGUGAAACCUAGGGGAGACGCUGCUUAGCUUUGGGUUUGAAGGCACAGGAAAGGUCUCUAGUGCUGUGUUGAGCUUGAAAGUAAACCAUUGGCUUUUAUAGGAUUAUCUGAGAAUGGAAAAUGGUUGGGAUUUGCAAAGGGAUUGAUGCUGGCCCAAGGGGUCUUGAAGUGGUGUAUUCUCCAGUAAAAGAGCUAUAAUGGGAGUCAGCUCUAUUUCCUAAUGUUCUAUUGAGGAAUGUCGUGGUUCAGUUGCGUUGAAGACGGACUUGUUCCUGAACAAGGCUGUAAGCCCUGGGCUUCAGCUCUUGAUGAUGGGAAUGCAAUAAUGGGACCUAAUUCUUCUGACAUUAGUGAUUGUGAAGUAAUGAUGAUGGUGGGGUUGCCUGCUUCUGGUAAAACUACAUGGGCAGAGAAAUGGGCAGAAGAGUACCCUGAGAAGCGUUUUGUGUUACUUGGAAGAAACCUUAUUCUGGAUGAAAUGAAGGUUCCAAUUUUUUCCUUUUACAUUCUUUGUUCUUCUUGCAGAAAAGAUUUUCCUCUCUCUGCAUUUAUAUUCUUUAGCAUAGUGAAUGAUACUAUUUUUUUUUAAUAGGUUCCUGGGCUAUUUUGUAAGCACAGCUAUGUGAACAAUUCGAUCGCAGACUCCUUUCAAUCAUUUAUCAAUCAAACCAAUGUUUUCAAAAAUGCAUGCACACACAAAUUGAGACCAUUUUCAAAUUUCUGCAAGGUAGUGUCAUGGUAUCAUUCCUCAUAGAGCUUGUGCAAGUUCUGUACCAAGAAAUAACUGUGGUUGCUCUUGGAGCUCUGGUUCCAUUUCUGGUGGUAGAGCUGGCUCUUGCCAAAACUAUGGAUUUGUUGGUCCAUAUGGCAGAGCAAACACUGUUGGUGAGAAUAGUGUUGUUGGUGCUGCUGCUACUCCCAAACCCUACUGGAGCAAUAUGGCAGAACCCCUCACAGGGGGGGCUGCAAGGACAUCUUCCUUUACAUGCGAUAAUGUUGGAGGUCUCCCCACCAGCCUGCAGGCUCCAAUACAUAUUUUCCCAGUCCUUCCCCUUCUUCAUAUGGUUUGCCUUGUGGAACUCCUCGCAUUCCACUACCUGCAUCUCUUGCUCCAUCACCAAGGUCCCCGUAUUCCAAUUUUCCUACUGGCAUGCAGCAGCAUUCUGGAGGAUAUAACCCUCCUCCUCAGAGAAACUGCCAACUUCCUUAUAGUCUUGCCAUCCAUUCCUCAAGACCUCGGAGAUCUUACUUCCAAACUAAAGACUGGAAAUCGAGAAGGCCAAGUUCUGGUUCAUGCUGAACUGCAGAUAUUUUGCAAACAUGAACUUAAUGAAGAGAAUUCAAAGGGCCCCCCUUCAAAGAUAAUUUCUAGAUUUUUGUAAAUACUACCACAUAUUUCAAGAUUUUUUUUUUUAACUUUAUGGGAGACUAUAAUUGGGAUCGAAGUUCAGAGAAACGUCCAUAUAAAAUCCGUCACAUGACUGGAAGUAGUUGGAGUUUAGGUCUUUUA